AGAGUUUGAUUCUGGCUCAGAACGAACGCUGGCGGCGUGGAUAAGACAUGCAAGUCGAGCGAGAUUUUUUCUUGUAGCAAUACAGGGAAAAGUCUAGCGGCGAACGGGUGCUUAACACGUGGGCAACCUGCCGAGAAGUGGGGGAUAGCUCGCCGAAAGGCGAAUUAAUACCGCAUGUGAUUAGAGAGGACAUCCUUUCGAAAUUAAAGUCGGGGCAACCUGACGCUUUUUGUGGGGCCCGCGGCCUAUCAGCUAGUUGGUGAGGUAACGGCCCACCAAGGCUUUGACGGGUAGCUGGUCUGAGAGGACGACCAGCCACACUGGGACUGAGACACGGCCCAGACACCUACGGGUGGCAGCAGUCGAGAAUUUUUGACAAUGGGGGAAACCCUGAUCGAGCGACGCCGCGUGGAGGAUGAAGGUCUUCGGAUUGUAAACUUCUGUCAUUGGGGAACAAGGUGCAUACGUUAACUGCGUGUGCAUUGAUAGUACUCGAAGAGGAAGGGACGGCUAACUCUGUGCCAGCAGCCGCGGUAAUACAGAGGUCUCAAGCGUUGUUCGGAUUCAUUGGGCGUAAAGGGUGCGUAGGCGGCGCGGUAAGUCGGGUGUGAAAUCUCGGGGCUUAACUCCGAAACUGCAUUCGAUACUGCCGUGCUUGAGGACUGGAGAGGAGACUGGAAUUUACGGUGUAGCGGUGAAAUGCGUAGAUAUCGUAAGGANGNNNAGUGGCGANNNCGGGUCUCUGGACAGUUCCUGACGCUG
rnacentral:rRNA from 1 species